UUCAGGGGUGAGAAGCGUGGGGCUAAGGCGUCUGUAGAUGGGAAAUGCAGGAGCUACCUGCCAGAAACCUUGGUGUGUGGUUGACCAGAGGCAUAAAACCACAAGUCUAUCCUGAAGGAGUGUGGAAGUGUCCAUCACCCUUCAGGUUACCAGGGUUAUUUUCCAGAGAUCUCUCUAAGCUUGGAGUGAAGACAUCCCCACCUGGGGCAGAGAGGAAGCUGGAAGCUUGGCUGCAGAGAGGAGGGAAGCUGUGGCACAUGUUGGAUUGAAUCUCCUGAUGUGCAUUAUAAAAGACUGGUCAUGUGACUGACUUCAGCCAAUGAAAUGUUCUCAUGUGCACAGUAGAGCUUUCCAGAGGUUAUGAGAUAUGACAUCACAAGAGAUUAAAUUGGAGCAGAUAUGAGAUUCUAGUUACUUUCUUUAAGCCAACAUCUUUCUUAAAGAUAUUAGAAAAACUGCAAAAUAGUGUGAUUAUUUUCAUAAAAAUUCUUUUUACUGGAAAAA